rnacentral:lncRNA from 1 species
AGAACAAUGCGGGAGUUGCAGAGAGAGGUGUCCUGUGUUUGUUCCCAGUCUUCCUUCACUCACCUGCACCUGCUCCUGCCCUGCUUCGGCCAACAUGUUCUAUGCAGGGUGGUUUUGCUGAUGAGACAGCUGCAGUUUGGGGAGUGUGAUAUCAAGGAAAGCAGUGUCUUGAGUCUGUCACUUUCUCUCUCUGUCCCAUUGGGAAAUCUUCUCCAAGGGCAACUCUGAGUGGUGAAGACAGGAUGGAGUCAGUUGACUCUAGACCUUGUCCCAGUCUACUACUUUCUACUAUGACCUCCAGCAGGGCUGGGAGCUACACAGGCCAGGGACUUUGUUUUCUUCCCCGUCUUUCCUCAGGGCCCAUCACAGAAAUGCCUUUAGGCCCUCUUCACCACCUCACAUCUGCAUCUCAACUCCAGGCAUUAUAGUAUACAUAGCCUUGGAAUCAGAAGACCAAGAACAUACAAGAGAACAUAGCCUUGGAAUCAGAAGACCAAGAAACAAUUUAACUCUGCCCCUCUAGAGCUCUGAGAACUUGGGCAAGCCUUUUACCCUCUGUGAGUUUCAGUUUCCUCAUUUAUUUAAUUGAAAUAAUAAUACAGAUCACCUGAAAUGUAAUGAAAAUUAAACAUCCUUAUGUAGGUGAAACCAACUGGCAGCAUGCCUGGAAUAUAGUGAGUGCUCAUUCGGUCUCUUGUAUUUUCUUUCUAUACCCUACUUCUGUUCCCUUGGAUUCAUAUACCUGAAUUGGAAACACCCAAAGUCAAAAAGAAUAAGAAAAAUCUUUAGAAAUGUAGCAUAUUACCAAGAUCUGCAAAUUUCUGCCCAGAGCAGAUGGUUCUAAUAAAGAAAGUCGGAUCUUAUGUUGAGUUCUUUUCUGUCCAAGAAUAGAAGACCUUCCCUCUUCUCCAGUAGUGAAGAAUAGGAUUCAUCAGCCUUGGGGGCAAAGUUAAAAACUUGCUCUAGAAAGUGGCCUGGAUAGUCAGAAACUGCUUAGACUCACUCCAUCUGUUCUAUACACAUACACACACCUUUGUUUGUCAGUAAAAUAUUCAAUGAGACUUGAUAGUCCAAUCCUUUGAAACCAGAAUAAUAUUUGAAAUUUUGAUGAUUUUAUCUAACUGCUAAUAUCACUUGCAGGUCAUCAGUGUUUUACAUCCAACAAACUAAUGGUCAUUUGCUGCUUUAUAAAGAGCCGAUAUAAUUUUGUCUUCCUUGUUAUUAAAGGAUCAAGCAAGGGUGUUUCUGUACCAGUUCAACUUUCCUUAUUUGCUUAUUAGUCAGUAAUAUUCAAGAAAAUCCUAGUUUUAAAAAAUGUCAUUACAUGUUAAACUGUGGAAAGAGUCACCAUCAUUUGAAUAAAUCUUGAGUAAGCCCA